rnacentral:rRNA from 2 species
AGCGGAGGAAAAGAAACCAACAGGGAUUGCCUCAGUAACGGCGAGUGAAGCGGCAAAAGCUCAAAUUUUAAAGCUGGCACCUUCGGUGUCCGCGUUGUAAUUUUGUGAGGCAUCUCCGGGUAGGGCGCCGGCCUAAGUUCCUUGGAACAGGACGUCAUAGAGGGUGAGAAUCCCGUGCUUGGCUGGCUGUCCCCGUCCAUGUGAGGUGUCUUCGACGAGUCGAGUUGUUUGGGAAUGCAGCUCAAAAUGGGUGGUAAAUUUCAUCUAAAGCUAAAUAUUGGUGGGAGACCGAUAGCGCACAAGUAGAGUGAUCGAAAGAUGAAAAGCACUUUGAAAAUAGAGUUAAAAAGUACGUGAAAUUGUUGAAAGGGAAGCGCUUGAGACCAGACUUCGGUGGGGAGUGAUCAGCUGUCCUUCUGGGCGGUGCACUUGCUCCCCUCCGGGCCAGCAUCGGUUGGGACGGCGGGAUAAAGGUCCCGGGAAUGUGGCUCCUCUCGGGGAGUGUUAUAGCCCGGGUGAAUGCCGCCAGCCCCGACCGAGGACCGCGCCUUCGGGCUAGGAUGCUUGGCAUAAUGGUCUUCAGCGACCCGUCU